AGUGAACGCUGGCGGUAGGCCUAACGCAUGCAAGUCGAACGGCAGCACAGUAAGAGCUUGCUCUUACGGGUGGCGAGUGGCGGACGGGUGAGGAAUACAUCGGAAUCUACUUUUUCGUGGGGGAUAACGUAGGGAAACUUACGCUAAUACCGCAUACGACCUACGGGUGAAAGCAGGGGAUCUUCGGACCUUGCGCGAUUGAAUGAGCCGAUGUCGGAUUAGCUAGUUGGCGGGGUAAAGGCCCACCAAGGCGACGAUCCGUAGCUGGUCUGAGAGGAUGAUCAGCCACACUGGAACUGAGACACGGUCCAGACUCCUACGGGAGGCAGCAGUGGGGAAUAUUGGACAAAGGGCGCAAGCCUGAUCCAGCCAUACCGCGUGGGUGAAGAAGGCCUUCGGGUUGUAAAGCCCUUUUGUUGGGAAAGAAAAGCAGCAGGUUAAUACCCCGCUGUUCUGACGGUACCCAGAGAAUAAGCACCGGCUAACUUCGUG
rnacentral:rRNA from 1 species